CACCAGCCCCUCGAGUGGUGGGGAUGAUUAUUUGGCCUAAAGCGUCCGUAGCCGGCCGGGUAAGUUUCCCGUUAAAUCCAGCGUCUCAAGCGUUGGACUGCGGGAAAUACUGCCUGGCUAGAGAGUGGGAGAGGUCAGCGGUAUUCUGGGGGUAGGGGCGAAAUCCUUUGAUCCCCGGAGGACCACCAGUGGCGAAGGCUGCUGACUAGAACACGUCUGACGGUCAGGGACGAAAGCUGGGGUAGCGAACCGGAUUAGAUACCCGGGUAGUCCCAGCCGUAAACGAUGCAUGCUGGGUGUUGGGUUGGCCACGAGCCACCCCAGUGCCGCAGGGAAGCCGUUAAGCAUGCCGCCUGGGAAGUACGAUCGCAAGAUUGAAACUUAAAGGAAUUGGCGGGGAGCACCACCAGGCGUGAAGCCUGCGGUUU
rnacentral:rRNA from 1 species